rnacentral:rRNA from 1 species
CAGGUCACUCCUACGGGAGGCAGCAGUGGGGAAUUUUGGACAAUGGGCGCAAGCCUGAUCCAGCCAUUCCGCGUGCAGGAUGAAGGCCCUCGGGUUGUAAACUGCUUUUGUACGGAACGAAAAGGCUCUCUCUAAUACAGGGGGCUCAUGACGGUACCGUAAGAAUAAGCACCGGCUAACUACGUGCCAGCAGCCGCGGUAAUACGUAGGGUGCAAGCGUUAAUCGGAAUUACUGGGCGUAAAGCGUGCGCAGGCGGUGAUGUAAGACAGUUGUGAAAUCCCCGGGCUCAACCUGGGAACUGCAUCUGUGACUGCAUCGCUGGAGUGCGGCAGAGGGGGAUGGAAUUCCGCGUGUAGCAGUGAAAUGCGUAGAUAUGCGGAGGAACACCGAUGGCGAAGGCAAUCCCCUGGGCCUGCACUGACGCUCAUGCACGAAAGCGUGGGGAGCAAACAGGAUUAGAUACCCUGGUAGUCCACGCCCUAAACGAUGUCAACUGGUUGUUGGUCCUUCACUGGAUCAGUAACGAAGCUAACGCGUGAAGUUGACCGCCUGGGGAGUACGGCCGCAAGGUUGAAACUUAAAGGAAUACG